AGCGAACGCUGGCGGCAGGCCUAACACAUGCAAGUCGAACGAUCCUUCGGGAUAGUGGCGGACGGGUGAGUAACACGUGGGAACGUGCCCUUUGGUUCGGAACAACUCAGGGAAACUUGAGCUAAUACCGAAUGUGCCCCUCGGGGGAAAGAUUUAUCGCCAGUGGAGCGGCCCGCGUCUGAUUAGCUAGUUGGGAGGGUAAAGGCCCACCAAGGCUACGAUCAGUAGCUGGUCUGAGGGGAUGAUCAGCCACAUUGGGACUGAGACACGGCCCAAACUCCUACGGGAGGCAGCAGUGGGGAAUCUUGCGCAAUGGGCGAAAGCCUGACGCAGCCAUGCCGCGUGAAUGAUGAAGGUCUUAGGAUUGUAAAAUUCUUUCACCGGGGACGAUAAUGACGGUACCCGGAGAAGAAGCCCCGGCUAACUUCGUGCCAGCAGCCGCGGUAAGAC
rnacentral:rRNA from 1 species